UACAGAGGGUGCAAGCGUUGUUCGGAAUUAUUGGGCGUAAAGCGCGUGUAGGCGGCUUUGCAAGUCGGGUGUGAAAUCCCUCAGCUUAACUGAGGAAGUGCGCCCGAAACUGCCGAGCUUGAGUACCGGAGAGGGUGGCGGAAUUCCCCAAGUAGAGGUGAAAUUCGUAGAUAUGGGGAGGAACACCGGUGGCGAAGGCGGCCACCUGGACGGAUACUGACGCUGAGGCACGAAGGCCAGGGGAGCAAACGGG
rnacentral:rRNA from 1 species